rnacentral:rRNA from 1 species
UACGUAGGGAGCAAGCGUUGUCCGGAAUCAUUGGGCGUAAAGCGCGUGUAGGCGGCUUGGUAAGUCUGCUCUGAAAGCCCGGGGCUCAACCCCGGGAGGCGGGUGGAUACUGCUGAGCUCGAGUCCGGAAGAGGCGAGUGGAAUUCCUGGUGUAGCGGUGAAAUGCGUAGAUAUCGGGAGGAACACCUGUGGCGAAGGCGGCCCCCUGGUUGGAUACUGACGCUGAUACGCGAAAGCGUGGGGGGCAAACAGG